AAAAACAUCGCCUUCUGAUAUUUAUAGAAGGUCUAGCCUGCCCAGUGACAAACUUAAACGGCCGCGGUAUCUUAACCGUGCAAAGGUAGCACAACCACUUGUCCUCUAAAUAGGGACUAGUAUGAACGGCAUCACGAGAAUUAUACUGUCUCCCCCCUUUAAUCAGUGAAACUAAUCUCCUCGUGAAGAAGCGAGGAUAAACAUAUAAGACGAGAAGACCCCAUGGAGCUUCAAACUACAUGUCACUUGCACUCAAUAACAUCAUCUAAUUUCAGCAAGUCUGUCCACUAGUUUUUGGUUGGGGUGACCGCGGAGCAAAACAUAACCUCCAUGAUGAAAAGAAAUAUAUUCUAAUCAAAGAGCUACAACUCGCAGAAUCAAAACAUUGACUUAAAUUGACCCAAUAUUUUUGAACAACGAACCAAGUUACCCUGGGGAUAACAGCGCAAUCCAUUUCAAGAGCCCCUAUCGACAAAUGGGUUUACGACCUCGAUGUUGGAUCAGGGUAUCCCAGUGGUGCACCGCUACUAAAGGUUUGUUUGUUCAACGGUUAAAACCCUACGGGAUCUGAGUUCAGACCG
rnacentral:rRNA from 1 species